rnacentral:rRNA from 2 species
UACGUAGGGUGCAAGCGUUGUCCGGAAUUAUUGGGCGUAAAGAGCUCGUAGGCGGUCUGUCGCGUCUGCUGUGAAAACUGGAGGCUCAACCUCCAGCCUGCAGUGGGUACGGGCAGACUAGAGUGCGGUAGGGGAGAAUGGAACUCCUGGUGUAGCGGUGGAAUGCGCAGAUAUCAGGAAGAACACCGAUGGCGAAGGCAGUUCUCUGGGCCGUAACUGACGCUGAGGAGCGAAAGCGUGGGGAGCGAACAGG